UUCUGGCUACGGCGUUGGUGACUGCCAACAACGUUUUCUGAUCUAUGUUUUUUACUUCAACGGAUGUUGAGAUGCUUUGGCGGCAGUAUACCGAGCUUGUACUCGGAAACUAUAAGCCGAUAGCCGAGAUGUCCACCUGGUUACCCCAGGUCAAAAACUGAGGUAAGACGGCGCUGCGGUCGAACU
rnacentral:other from 1 species